AACGCACCUUGCACCUCUUGGUAUUCCGAGAGGUACACCUGUUUGAGUGUUGUGAAUUCCUCCAUUCAUUUAUUUUAUAAGUGAACUGGGACUUGGGGAUUUUUGUAGGACAGAAAGUUCUACUUCCCUUAAAUAAAUUAGUAAAGAGUUUAAUAUAUACUCUUUUGAAGUGUUGAUAAACUAUCUACGCUUUAAAUUUGUAUGCUUUACUUAUAAAAACAUCAUAUUAUAUUUAUGAACUUGACCUCAAAGCAGGUGGGCCUACCCGCUGAACUUAA
rnacentral:misc_RNA from 1 species